GUUGGAAAGAAUUUCGGUCAGGGAUGAGCUCGCGGCCUAUCAGCUUGUUGGUGAGGUAUGGCUUCACCAAGGCGUCGACGGGUAGCCGGCCUGAGAGGGUGACCGGCCACACUGGGACUGAGACACGGCCCAGACUCCUACGGGAGGCAGCAGUGGGGAAUAUUGCACAAUGGGCGAAAGCCUGAUGCAGCAACGCCGCGUGAGGGACGACGGCCUUCGGGUUGUAAACCUCUUUUAGCAGGGAAGAAGCGAAAGUGACGGUACCUGCAGAAAAAGCGCCGGCUAACUACGUGCCAGCAGCCGCGGUAAUACGUAGGGCGCAAGCGUUAUCCGGAAUUAUUGGGCGUAAAGAGCUCGUAGGCGGUUUGUCGCGUCUGCUGUGAAAACUGGAGGCUCAACCUCCAGCCUGCAGUGGGUACGGGCAGACUAGAGUGCGGUAGGGGAGAUUGGAAUUCCUGGUGUAGCGGUGGAAUGCGCAGAUAUCAGGAGGAACACCGAUGGCGAAGGCAGAUCUCUGGGCCGUAACUGACGCUGAGGAGCGAAAGGGUGGGGAGCAAACAGGCUUAGAUACCCUGGUAGUCCACCCCGUAAACGUUGGGAACUAGUUGUGGGGUCCAUUCCACGGAUUCCGUGACGCAGCUAACGCAUUAAGUUCCCCGCCUGGGGAGUACGGCCGCAAGGCUAAAACUCAAAGGAAUUGACGGGGACCCGCACAAGCGGCGGAGCAUGCGGAUUAAUUCGAUGCAACGCGAAGAACCUUACCAAGGCUUGACAUAUACGAGAACGGGCUAGAAAUAGUCAACUCUUUGGACACUCGUAAACAGGUGGUGCAUGGUUGUCGUCAGCUCGUGUCGUGAGAUGUUGGGUUAAGUCCCGCAACGAGCGCAACCCUCGUUCUAUGUUGCCAGCACGUAAUGGUGGGAACUCAUGGGAUACUGCCGGGGUCAACUCGGAGGAAGGUGGGGAUGACGUCAAAUCAUCAUGCCCCUUAUGUCUUGGGCUUCACGCAUGCUACAAUGGCCGGUACAAAGGGCUGCAAUACCGUAAGGUGGAGCGAAUCCCAAAAAGCCGGUCCCAGUUCGGAUUGAGGUCUGCAACUCGACCUCAUGAAGUCGGAGUCGCUAGUAAUCGCAGAUCAGCAACGCUGCGGUGAAUACGUUCCCGGGUCUUGUACACACCGCCCGUCAAGUCAUGAAAGUCGGUAACACCUGAAGCCGGUGGCCCAACCCUUGUGGAGGGAGCCGUCGAAGGUGGGAUCGG
rnacentral:rRNA from 1 species